rnacentral:rRNA from 1 species
AGAUUGAACGCUGGCGGAAUGCUUUACACAUGCAAGUCGAGCGGCAGCGCGGGGCAACCUGGCGGCGAGCGGCGAACGGGUGAGUAAUGCAUCGGAACAUGUCCAUGUCGUGGGGGAUAGCCCGGCGAAAGCCGGAUUAAUACCGCAUACGCCCGAGAGGGGAAAGUGGGGGGACCGCAAGGCCUCACGCGAUUGGGUUGGCCGAUGUCCGAUUAGCUAGUUGGUGGGGUAAAGCCCACCAAGGCGAUGAUCGGUAGCUGGUCUGAGAGGAUGAUCAGCCACACUGGGACUGAGACACGGCCCAGACUCCUACGGGAGGCAGCAGUGGGGAAUUUUGGACAAUGGGGAAACCCUGAUCCAGCCAUUCCGCGUGAGUGAAGAAGGCCUUGGGUUGUAAAGCUCUUUGUCCGGAACGAAACGGUGAGCGUGAAUAUCGCUCGCUACUGACGGUACCGGAAGAAUAAGCACCGGCUAACUACGUCACCGAGCAGCCGACGUAAUCU